rnacentral:rRNA from 1 species
UACGUAGGGGGCAAGCGUUGUCCGGAAUUAUUGGGCGUAAAGAGCGUGUAGGCGGUCCGGUAAGUCAGCUGUGAAAGUCAAGGGCUCAACCCUUGAAAGCCGGUUGAUACUGUCGGGCUUGAGUACGGAAGAGGCGAGUGGAAUUCCGGGUGUAGCGGUGGAAUGCGUAGAGAUCCGGAAGAACACCGGUGGCGAAGGCGGCCUUCUGGACGAUGACUGACGCUGAGACGCGAAAGCGUGGGGAGCAAACAGG